AACGAACGCUGGCGGCAUGCCUAACACAUGCAAGUCGAACGAAGGCUUCGGCCUUAGUGGCGCACGGGUGCGUAACGCGUGGGAAUCUGCAUCUCGGUUCGGAAUAACAGUUAGAAAUGACUGUUAAUACAGGAUGAUGACUUCGGUCCAAAGAUUUAUCGCCGAGGGAGGAGCCAGCGUAAGAUUAGGUAGUUGGUGGGGUAAAGGCCUACCAAGCCGACGAUGUUUAGCUGGUCUGAGAGGAUGAUCAGCCACACUGGGACUGAGACACGGCCCAGACUCCUACGGGAGGCAGCAGUGGGGAAUAUUGGACAAUGGGCGAAAGCCUGAUCCAGCAAUGCCGCGUGAGUGAUGAAGGCCUUAGGGUUGUAAAGCUCUUUUACCAGGGAUGAUAAUGACAGUACCUGGAGAAUAAGCUCCGGCUAACUCCGUGCCAGCAGCCGCAGUAA
rnacentral:rRNA from 1 species